ACUAUUCUCAAGUAAUGCUAGAUUCUCAUAAGUUUACAACAUUAACCAUCCUACAGGGAUUCUGAACUUUGUUCACAGUCAAGUAAGUGGGGAUGGCUGACUAGAAAAUAGAAAGUUCUAAGUCCAGAGCACCAUUGAGUCUGUGUUAAAUAACACUAAGUGUUGUGAUGAGCAAAGCCCUUUUUGGGUUCCUGCUGCUGAAAGCACUCCUAGCACUAAGCAGGAUCCAUAUGCAAUACUUGCUCAGCUGUCAUAUGGCCUCUGCUGGCAUAUUAGAGAACUUGAAAAUGCCCUAGAACUUAAAAAGGUGAGCCAAACUAAGAAAAUUCAUUUGAAUUCCAUUUAUCUUUGUAAUCUUUCUCCUCCCACUCUAGGGAUAAGAAUUAAACUUCAAAGUUUAGGCUUUUUUUUUAAUUACUUUCUGAUUUUACUUUUAAAAAGAGCUGCAUUUUUUGUUUUAUCGGUUGCUUAAAUUAUAAGUAAAAAGGCUGGCCAAACAUUAGUUAAGUCAACCUUGUACAAACCAUACCUGUCACUGACCUUUUACACUGCUAAUAGUAGUGUGUAAAUUGUGAUUAUUGAUUGUACUUAAACAUGGAAAUAUUCAGGGCCAGGAAGUUUGAUACGCAUGUGUGAUAAGCACAUGAACGUGUGUUUAAUAUGAAACAAAUUGAAAAGCUGGAAGUAGGAGCUGGAGAGAGAGCUCAGUUAGGAGAGUGCACUGAUAGCUUCUCGGCCUUAUGGCUAAGAUCAAGUUUAGGAGAGUGCAGUACUCUUGUAGAGGACCCAUAGCAGGUGGACCACAGAUGCCUGAAAUCGAGACCCAGGGCAUCUUUGUCAAAUUUACAUUCUGUAUACUUCCACACAGAAACACAAACCCAUACACAUAAUUACAUAUAAAAUAAAAAAAUAAAAUAAAAAAAAAUAAAAAAAAAAAGAGGCUGGAUGCAGUGGUACUAAUCUCUAACAGAGCAUGUGUUAUGUGUGUUGGAAAAUGGAGACAGGAAGAUGACCCAGAAAUUUUCAGAUCAUCUAGCAUGGGGUCUACAGGAGAACAGCAGAGUCAAAGAGACCUGCCUCAGCAUGGGAGGAGAUGAGAACUGACUCCUGAGUGCUGUCCUCUAACUUCACAUGUGACCUGCAGCAUACACACAAGUAACUUAUUAAAAUAUAUUGCUAUUAAGAACCUAUAAAACACUCAAAAAAUUGAGAAUAGAAGAAAGAGGGAAUAAGUCAAAUAAAUUUUUAUUAAGAAUUUGGAAGAAAGCACCUGUGGAACUCAAACACAAAGAAGAAUCAGAAGAAAACUCAUAACUUGGGAGAACAGAAGCAAGUCAUGUGUCUCUCUUGCAGCAAAGUUAAAUGGCAUAAAAUUAUUUACUAUGUGACAAAUUUUCUGCUACAUCAAAAAGGAAGCCAGGCAUGUUUCUAGAAUAGAAAGAUGGGAAGAGGGUUGGCAAUAACAUGAAGCAAGCAGAGAACUGGGAGCACAAUGACAUCAGAAUUGAACUCACUGUUCCUUUGUUUACUCUUAAAACCAUUCUUUAAGAAUCAGUGAAGGAGCCACAGGCAAAGCUCUGAAGACAACUCAAAACUUUGAGUGAUACAAAUGCCAUAUUGUUUGGGAAUCACAGCUCUUCUAUUAUUUUGAAUUUUUUUUAUUUUUUUUGAGAUUAUAGUUACAUCAUUUCCCCUUCCCUUUCCUCCGCCCAAACCCUCCCAUGUACCUGUACUUGCUUCUUUAACAUUUUUGGUCUCUUUUGCCAGCAAUUGGUGGUAGUGGUGGUGGUGGUGUUGUUGUUGGUGGUGGUGGUGGUGGUGGUGGUGUGUGUGUGUGUGUGUUCAUAAAUACGUAUGUAUAUGUAUAAGGAAAAUAAAUGCAGCGUGCUCAGUCUGUUUAGUAUUACUUGUAUGUAUAUUUUCAGGGCUGACUACUUGGUAUUAGAUAUCUAAUUAGGAUGCUUAUCCCUGCAGAAAAUGAAUUCUCCCUCCCUCACUGGUCCUUAUUAGCCUAUAGCUCUUCAUCUAAGGGUGGACCCCAUGACAUCCCCACAUGCAUGUUGGCAUGUCUACUGGUGGUAUCAUUGGUAAUCAUACUAUUGAAAUGUCAUGAGUGUAGUUUCCCUGUCAUUUCUAGAAGGCAAACCUCAUUACAGUUUCUGUUUUUCUGGCUGUUUUAAUCCCGUCCAUCCCCUCCCCUGCAACUUCCAAAAUGUUCCUCUAGCCUUAAGUAUAGGGGUUGUGUUGUAGAUGAAUCAACUGGAGCUGUAAUGAGAAGCUUUUAAAAUGAGGGGCAGGAGCCACCUUACCUGUGGGUAUAAGGGUGAUAAGUAUUUAGAAUGAGUUUAAUGCUUACAUGUAUUACAUGUAAUUUUAGGUAAAUAUAAAGUAAUAUGAUUCUCUCUGACAGUGUUUCUCAGCUUGUGGGUCCCAACCCCUUUGGAGAGUACAUCAAACAGCUUUUACAUAGGGAUCAGCUAAGACCAUUGGAAAAUACAGAUAUUUACAUUACAAUUCAUAAUAGUAGAAAAAUUACAGUUAUGAAGUGGCAACAAAAAUCAUUUUCUGGUUGGGGGUCAGUGCUUUAUUAAACUGUGUUAAAGAAUCGCAGCAUUAAGAAGGUUGGGGACCAGAGCUCUGGCUGUUCUAACAUCCUGACUGCUAGUUAUAGUUCGUCACUCCUUUUCUUCUGCAUUUUUCCCAAUUAAAGCUUAACCCACACUUUCCCCUUUCAUAUUAACUCUAUCCUGUUAUUUUUCUUUUUAGAGCUCCUUCCCUACUCACCCAAUGGCCCCCUUUGUUUUUUUAGUUUCUGCUCUUUCUCCAAGUAUCUGAACAUUUGCAACUAGGAACCUCACAUGAGAGAAUACAGUGUUUGUCUUCUAGGUCUGGAUUACCUCACUCAGUUCUAGUUGCAUCCAUCUAUCUGCAGCUUUCAUGAUUUUGCUUUUCUUGCCAGAUGAUGAGUAUUCUAUAGUGUAUAUGCACCACAUUUGCAUUACCCAGUCAUUAGCUAAGGACAUUUAGAUUUUGUCCAUCUCCUAAGCUAUUGUGAAUAGAACAACAAGAACACAGCUAACAAGUAUUUGUGGAGUAGGAUAUUGGGUCUUUUGGGCAUAUGCCAAGGAGUGGUAUAGCUGCAUCAUAUGAUAAAUUUAUUUUUAGCUUUUUGAGAAUUCUCUACACUGCUUUCCAGAGCGGCUAUGCCACUUAGCAAUUCCAUUAAGAGUGAAUGACAGUCCCUCUCCCCACCUCCUGUCCAGCAUUUGUUUUCUUUUAGCCAUUCUGACGUUGGGGAGAUGAACUCUCAGAGAUGUUUGCUUUCUAUUGCUGUGACAAAAACCAUGAGCAAAAACAACUUUGGGAGGAAAGGGUUUAUUUAACUCAUGCUUCCAUCCUUGAGAAGAGCCAGCAGGAACUCAGGAAUCUGGAAGCAAGCACUGAGGCAAACACCAUGGAAAAUAUAGCUUAUUGGUUUGCUCUUCAUGUUGCUAAGUAGCUUUCUUGAGCCAAAUAGGACCAUCUGUGCAGGGGUGUCAUUCCCCACAGUGGGCUAGGCCCUUCCACAAAUAAUUAAUUGAAAAGAAAAAAGGAAAAACACCUAUAAACAUGCCAUGCCCAAGAGAAAAUUUGAUGCAGGCAAUCCCUCAAGGCUUUUUUUCCCCACAUUUCAUAUAUGUCUAGAUUUGUGUCAAGCUGACAAAACUAAACAUAGAAAUAAAGUGAAAUUUCAGCGUAUCCAUAAAAUAACAAUGAGACAAUCCAAAUCUAUGGAAUAAGACUAAGAUGGAGCUAAAUGCUUCUAAAGGGAUAGAAAAAAAAUAAUGGCUCCAGCCACUUGGGAAAGAAUAACACAAGUGAGAUUUUGGCUUACUUACUGAAUUUCCUAGGAAUGCACGACCAUGUAAAUCAAAAGAUUAUACUUCUUUCCCCCAAGAACUUAAAUAAGCCUUUGCCCUCUGAAGCAUAACAUGACUACUAGCAAAGCCCCUGGUAGCUUUCAAGCCUUCAGUGUAGUAUGUCUGUGUACUCUUGCUGAGCAAUGUACAAUAACUACAUAUUCAAUCACUAUUGCCUUCUAGGGAAGUCGCUUGAACAUCUAUGAAUCAAAAUAUCUAUUGUUCUUAUUUUUAAUGGACUUCCUUCUAUUUCUCCCUUUUACCAGAACAGAAGAACAGAAUGGUGUGGGAGACCUCCUUAGGUCAGGGAGGCCUCAGGAGCCCCCAAAACAAUGUAGGCUUUUGUCAGUCUUCUUGGUCACCCACCAAAUAGAGGCAAUGGUCUUACUGCUCCUCAGUUGUAAGAUGCUAAGAAAACAAGAUGGAACUGAGCUGGCAACUUUCUCCCUGCAGGCACUCUCUUGUUUAAACUCCCAAGGGUCAUGAUAAUAAUAAAUGGGCAAAGAUUCAAACGAACACUUCACAGAAGAAACGUACAAAUGCAUCUGUCCUAAGAGCACAGAAAGAAAUUCAGCUUUAUCAGCCAACAGAGAAAGGCAAAUUAAAACUAUACAGAGAUGCUACUGUAUAUACUUUCUGGUCAAAAGUGCAGACUGACCUUCAACAAGGAUGUGAAACAAUUAGAAAUCUUGCUGUUAUAUGAAAGGAAAGUGGUGCUGGACAGUAAUUCUGGUGGUCCCUAAGCAUCAUACCAUGCAACCUUCCAUUCUUAUGGAUUUACCAAUGACAUGUGGAAGUGCCUGGUCAUGUAAAGACUUCUACACAACUAUUUAUCUUAGUAUUAUUUGUAAUAGUCCAAAUUGAUGUUGACAUAAGUGUCUAAAAAAUUAGUAUCUGUCCAAUUACAUGGAGUAAAAUACCACAUUAGAAGGUAAUAAACCAAUGAAACAUGCAAUAAUAUGGAUUACUAUUUCUAUUCCAGUUAUCCUGAAUUCAAAAAAUAGUACAGAAAAUAUGCUGCAUGAUUCUGCAUAUAGGAUUUUCAAAGUAAUCUACAUCACCAGAAGACAGAUCAGCGGAGGCAAGGUAUAGGGUAGGGUAUGACAGAAAGGGGCACAAAGAACUUGUGGAAAUGGUUGAUUCAACUGGCCAUUUGAAUUGUGGUAAUGACUUCUAAGAUAGGUCAAGUUGAUCAAAGUGUGUUGUCCUUUCUCAUAAUUCAGUGUACUCCAUGAAGUUUUAAGAAAUUAGAUACAUUAUCUGAAAAAAUUUUUAAAAUUGAGUGUAGAGACUUGGCUUUCAGGCAAAACAACUAAUUCUUUUUAAAAAUCCAUUCCCUAGCUGAAUAUUGAACCUCCUCUCCAACCUGGGAGCCUUUCAGCACCUCACAUGCAUCCACUAGUGCUAGCAAGACUAUAUUCUAGUUAUGUGUUGUUUGGUUUAUCUACUCCUGCCUUUUCAUCUCUGAAAGGUGAGUUCAGAAAUAUUGAAUUUCUCAGUUUCCACCCUCCUGCCUGUGGUGUGUGGUUUGUGAGAAGGUGAGAGAAGAAAUAAAUGGACUGGGCACGGCAAAGCAGGACCACUGGGUAGUCUAUAGAAGUGCUGCUUUUGGCACUGAUGUUGAGAUAGGAAGGGCACCAAAGUUGUGUUAAUCCUUGCACAAGAAAGUCCCCUCUUCUGUGUGAGAUGUGCUGAGAGUUCAAGAAGCCUCAAUCUUCUUAAAUUAGGAGCAGAAUUGUCUAUAGAGAGUACAUUUUUGGAUAGUUUAGUAACUUUAUUUUUAUUUACUGUCAUCCCCACUGACUGGUGUAGGCUAAUAUAUGGAUUCUCUGUCUUUGUUCUUAUGUGUCCUGAUUCUGUGGCCAAACUGCCUGGUGUGAUUAUUAUUGUCUGAAUUAUCCAGAGCAGAUCUGGCUUGAGGUGGUAUCUGGUGUUGGUAUCCUGCAACACCAUCAAGACUUGGUUGUCUGUGGCUUAGUUCUGUCCAUUGGCUUUCUUCCGUACACUGGCUUUAUUCUCAGAUGGUUUCUCCAUUAGAAGUUGCAAACUAGCUGGACCAAGAACCAGUUCCAACAGCUGAAAGAAUAGGAGGUUUCUGGGAACUUGAUGGAGGCUGCUGUUUGCUUCAACGGACUAAAGUGUUCUGGGCUCCAACCCCAGAUCUGAGGUGCCUAUGAUUACAGCAAGGAGUGGUUGCAUGAGACAGUAGUAUUUGAAUUUGCCAGAGAGCCUGAUAAAACACAUCUUGCUGGCUUCUGGGGCCACCACACAGUGUGAUUCAGGGAUUCUGGGAGCUGUGUUUUUAGAAAGGCUUCAAAACUUGCUAAACACUGUAAAUCCUAGAACUGGUUCUGAGAAUCCUUCCUCUGUGGGCAACUGGGAUAAGGGGACUUAAGAGAGGAAAUGUCUGCUUGGCCUGGCUGAUACCUGUGAACUCUGUCUUUCUAAGUUCAGACUGAAGGCACACCCUUAGUUGGAUGGCCUUUGGAGAUGGGGCUUUGGGAGACUCAAAUGAGUCUCAGAGUUGGGCCAUCCUGGGAACGUUAGUAACUAGAAAAGAGAACAAGAGCAUGCUCUCAACAUGUGAAAACAGCAUGGAGGGAUCUGUCUACAGACCAAAAAGACACUUCCCAAGGACUCAACAAAUGGGUUUUGGUUCCUGGCUUCUAGGACAGCAAGAAGCAAGUGUCUGUUGUCCAAGCUGCCCAGUGCUUGACGGUGUUUCAAUAGUAGCUCCAGAACACUGACAAGGAUGUGGGAGAAAAAACUGAAACCAUAUUGCCCAUGAGUGUGUAAAAAGGUACAAGUACUCUGAAAAGCUGCAGUAUUCAAAGCAAACACGUGAAUACCAUAGCUCUGAGCAUAUGCACUCCUGGCCUUUUAUAUCAGGAAAAAAUAUGUGUCUACAAGGAGUACAAAGAAUACAUUCUAAAAUUCAAGAGUGCCUAAGAGCACAGUGCAAGUUAACCAGAACUGAUUCUGUAUUGUGAGUAGGAAGUACAAAGAAACUUUAUUAGGGUUCCUUCUAGCUUCACUAUACAGACCCUGCCUGCCCUGCACGUGGGCUAUAGGGCAGCUCCACCACCACCUUCAUGGGUCUCCAUCUGGAAGCCCAGGAUGCAAAGGACGUGACACUAGUGUACCACCCAGCAUGGAUAGGCUAGGGGAAUAGGUGUGGGGAUGGAUAGAGAGGCCGUACAUGCCAGCAUGUACUGUACAUGUGCUCUCUGCUCCCUCUGUGAACCCUGCUGCUUUGCCCUGUCCUCUUGUCCUGGACGCUAUUGUUCACAUGGCCCAGAUCUUUCUCUGGGCCCUGGGUUAAGGGUUCUUUUCUUUUAAAAUGACUCUGCAGCUUCUGAGGAAUGAACUUGUUGAUGGCCAUGACAAACCUACAGUUUUUGGUUUGGUUUGGUUUUAUUGUGUGUUUUAUUUUGUUUUGUUUUACCUCUUCUUUUUUAAAAAUGUAAAUAUUUUUACUUAUUCAUGUUAUAUCCCAUUCACUGCUCCUUUCCUACCAGUCGACCCCUCCCACAACCCUUCUCCCCUUCUCCUUUGGGCAGUAAGGACCCCACCCUGGCCUUCAGGUCUCUACAAGGCUGGGCACUUCCUCUCUCACUAAGGCCAGACAAGGCUGCCCAGCUCGUAGAACAUUAUUCCAUGUACGUACAGGCAACAGCUUUUGGGAUAUCCUCUGCUCCAGUAGUUCAUUUAGGACCCACACGAAAGUAAAGCCGAAUAUUAGCUACAUACGAAUGGAGGGAUUUUGAUUGUGAUCUUGCAGUAUUUUUAUUGGUCAGAUCUUUCUUUUUAGCCUACACGAACAUACUAUUAAGUUCAUUCACAGUUUUGCAGGGCCUCUCUGGUUUUUUCAUCUUAUGAUUAAGGCCUUCCUGAAAGUAGUCUAAAGUCUGCCUGAGAACUUGGUGCUCACCUACUUAUCAUGUUCCUAGGGAGAUGUGCUUUCAAGGUGACUGGCUCUAUUAUCUUCAUAGAGGGUCCAGUGUUGGCAGUGAGAAUUUUUCAUGGUGGAUCUUCUCCACCAUCUGCUUUUUAUUUUUCUUUUCCCAGCUUUUGUACAUGACUUACAAUUUGUGUUUGUUAAGUCAGCUCAAAUCCUGGGCCAUUUGGGACCCUCUUUUCUGAAUCUUCCUUGCUUUCUCUUCUUUUUCUUCUUUUUCUCUUUCUUCUCUUCUGAUCAGCAGCCUUUCUCCACAGCCUUGGAAUCACUGCUUCAGGCCAUGUCAAAGUGAAAGCCAAAACAAGAGCCAAUCAGGAAAGCACCCCUGCAACUUAUGCUGGGUGUUCUUCUGGAAGAAGAAGAAGGAAUCAAGUCAGGAGGCAACUAGACAUAUACUGUGGCAUUGGGUCCCUGGUUAGGUCUUCUCACAUACACACACCCACAAUCUGAGGCCAUUGACUGGAAGUUUGGGGCAUCCUAAGUCCAGCCCUGAGCCUUUCAACCAAUGGUAUGAGGACUAUGUGUGCACAGGUGGUCAAGGUACGUAUCAUACUGGCCCUCAAAGGCUAUUUCCAUAUCAAGCUCAUCACAGUUACAGCUGGACCAUUUCAAGAUUAUGCUCACUCAGGAAAGUCCUUGAGUUAGACUCUUAGGAGUCUUAUCUCGCCUCCUAAGCUGUACAUGCCCCCUUGCAGUACGGGUUGAUCCUACAUUAGAAACCAUAGUUGGGAGCGUUGUGCUGACUAUUGCCAUAGCUGUAACUAUAGUUCUUAUAGCUUGUAUUUGGCCCAGAAUUCUACAUUCUAUAUCCAUAAUCAUAGGAGGGUACAGUACUGGUGUCCACAUAUAUUGACUGCAAGGUGGUUUGAGAUGUCUGGAUGAAGCCUAUGUAGCUCACAGCACCAUUUCACGGGCAAUGUGACAGUGGAAGCUGGCCUGCUUCUUCUCUGUCUGAAGCUGUUGUAUGGUUUAGCAAAACAAAAAACAAAAAAAACAAACAAAAAAAAAACCUUUUGAAAUUUUAUUUUGAGACUUUGAUCACAUAUUUGCCAAGGCUAUCAUAAUAAAGCAGCUGGAAAACAAUCAGAAUUUGGGAGUUUGUGAAAACAUCUUGUGACCUUUAGUCAAGGUUUCUAUGAGGAAUACAAAUUAGACUAUAAGCUACUUUCCUGGAGGCACAGAAAACAACACAGUGAUUGCUGUCCUAACCAGUCUAUGCUGGACUUGUAUGCUUGGCCACUGCAUACAGGGCUCUUCUGUAACCCACGAGGGAGCCCACAGUCCUCAUCAUGGCUUUGAUCAUGGGUGCUUCCCUUAACUUACUAUAAAAAUUAGGGGAAAUCAUAAAAAUGUAAAAUGAUUCAUAUCAUAUAUUUCAUACACUCUUAAAUUCUCACCCUGUGCUAUAAUGUACACAAAGAGGGCCUUGGGAUGUGGCUUAGUUGUAGAGUGCUUGACAAGCAUGCAAGAGGCCCUAGGUUUGGUCCCACUCACUGCAAAAAUACAAUUAUAGAGAAGGCAGCAAGGUGGCUUAACAGGUGAAAGCCUCAUGAUCUGAGUGAGACCAAGCUUAGGAACCCACAGAAUGGAAGCAGAGAAUUGAUUCCCACAAGCUGUCCUCUGAUUUAUACACAGGCACCAUGGUAUGUGUGCACAAAUAUGGAUACACCACACACACACACAUACACAAAACUUUUAAAGUAAUAUUAAAUACAAUAAACGGUAGGAAAAAAAAGAAACUGAAAAUCUCACAUGCCCUGAUGUGAAAAAAUAUUUAAAGAAGACUUUGGAUUCAUAUAAAAUUGUAUUAUUGAACAGUAGAUGAAUUAAAGUAUUUUCUAAUAAUUUUUUAUCCUUUUACAUUUCUUUUGGAAUCAUUUUGACUAACAGGUGGCCCUACUAUGUUGAAGAAGUAGUUUUUAUUUCUGUCUUGAGAGAGCUUUUUGUUGAUUGGCCACUGGCCUGGACAUCCAAUCAGCAGGAGACUUACAACACUGAAAAUGCUCAAUUACUUCACAAACUAAGCUGAAGCCAGAGGAAGCAGGAAGCAGGAAUUGCUGUAACAGCCAAUGACUCAGGUCUGCGUCCCCACUGCUCAUCCAUCCUAACACCUUAGGUCACACAUUAAUGACAAGACAAAUGGGAGACAGGCUACAUCUGUAUUUGCAGAGAAGUCAUAAAGCUGUCAAAUUAGUAUUGACGAGACUCAAUAUCUAGUGUUGAUGAAAGGGCCAUUCUCAUCCCCUCCCAGGAGCCAUCUCACCAGUGUGAGAUAAAAAGAGCAACCUUUUUGCAGGGAGUCUGGCAGGAGAUGAUAUCUAAAAGUGAAUUUAAAAGUUCAACCCAGGGCUGGAGAAAUGGCUCAGAAGUUAAGAGCUGUAGUUGCUCUUCCAAGGACCAAUGUUCAAUUCCCAGCACCCCCAUGCAGUUCAUAACUAUCUAUGACUACAGUUGCAGGGGAAUUCAAUGCCCUCUGACCUCUGUAAGCAUAAGACAGGUGAGUUACCACAUACACACAUAUGUACACCCAUGCAGAUACAAAAUACAAAUUUGAAAAAUUAAACCUCUCAAUAAGGCAACCCGCCUGUCUUCUUCCUUAGAGAAAUUUUGAGAAAUAUAUUAUUGUUUUUUUUUUUAAUUUCUAUUUGGGGCAUUUCAAAUACAGAUGUUUUAAUGCCCCGCUGAUCUUUUAGUGCCCCUCCCAGGCUGAUGCUAUCAACAGUGGCCCAGCUGGACUUCCAUUUAUUCUGCCUCUGAUGUUGUAAAUUUUCUGUGCCCAUAGGCCAGUGGAUGAAUUACAGUAAGACAUAGACUCCUCCCAGCGGAUCACAGCAGAACAUAACUUGCAUCUGUUAACCUAACAGCCCUGGUCCUGCUCAUCCUGGGAGCUAUUUGUUCACCCCCCUCUCCAACCCUGCUGAGAUAGUCACAGCUGAGAAUGACACAGUCAGUUGCUGGUGCAACAUGGAGGCAAGAAGGUGGGAGAAGCUAGGGUUUUCUUUCUCCUACUCUUUAUCUGGCUCAUGCUGAAUCUAUCUCAUCUGAUACCCCACUGAUGCCCUUGGUCUUGGUAUCCUGACUCUGAUGGAGCAGUGGCUUUCUGGAACUGUAAAUCUCUGACUCCCUGUUUGCUGUUGAGUAUGUCAGAUGUGUGAAGUUUCCUGCAGCAGGCCCUCAUUAAAUACUCAUGGCUCCUGUUCCGGGAUUGGAUCCUGACUUAUGAAGCAGGAAUUCAAGGACUGCAGAAGGAAGAGUUGAACUGUGUGGCUACCUGCUGGUAUCUUGCUGAAAGUUAUUGUCUGCCCCAUACUUAAUAAGCGUGUUUGUUAUUAUUUUCCUCACAUUUUCAACAUUGCUCCUGUUUAUGACUUGAAGUUACACUUCAGCUUGUAAAUGAGAUUUCUUGUUUUCUAGUUACUGUAUCUUGGCAUGAUGUUUUUCAAACCCCAUUUUAUUAUGUUCCACACUUAAAAAGCCACCUGGAUAUGCUCCCUUUCUGGUCUUUUUGUUAAAGUAUCUUUAAGCCCCUCACAUGUUUUUGUAAUGUGUAAGGCAGACUCUGUUACGACAGAAAAGUUUCAAAAGACUUGUGCAGCUGGGAGCUUUUUGAUGAUUUCAUUUUAUAAGCCCCUUGGAAUGAAUGUGGGCAUUAAAAGGCACCGUGAAUACAGUAUCAGUUUAACAAGAUUUGAGUGGCCUUCUUUUUACAGAGAACUUAACAUUUCUAGACAUUGAGAUUCCACCAGUGCCUUUCUCUAUAAUGUGUUAAAAAAAUGAAAUUUAGCAGACAUAUAAAAUGGGAAAAUAGAAAAGUUGUCAUAAAUCUUUUGUAUUAAAGUGUUUUCAAUUGCUUCAGAAGGAAACAGGACUAGAAAGUCCAGGUGCUGUUUGUUAGAGCAGAGGGCUGCUGCCUCUGCAUCAUGAUGGGAUGUAAUGAAAGAAACUGAAGCUCACAGGUCACAUGCUUGCAGGGAACUCGGAGAAUUCAGAUCCAUCUGGCCUCUCUGCACAUAGCAGGGGUGCAAAGGGCCUGCUAAAGCAGUGGCAACUGCACAAUGAGGGAGAAUUCUCCAGACCCUUCUAUGUGGCAGGCCCAGAUCUGCCCUGGUUCCUGGCCACAAGCCUCUCCAUGUGAGUAGCAAGUGGGCCUCCUGACAAUGGGCAACCUAAGCUGCCUCUCCAGGCUUCUGUGCCUGCUCACUAUGAUGGGGAACUCAGCCAUGAGGACCACCAGCAUAUUGUCCCAAGAAAGGAUAAGGAAGCUGUGCCACUAGGUCUAGAAGAAUUAGAUCUCUAAGGUUUUUGGAUCUCCCAAGCCUGAGUACUGGGGUACACUGGAGAUCAGCUGUAACAUGGGCCAGCCACAUUCCCUCACACAAUGUUUUCUUCUCUUUUGGGGGACUUGGUUUAGGGGAUCAUCUUUGCUUCAAUAUCUUGACUUAGAAUAUUUACAUAUAAUUGGAAAACUUUCUGAGUAAGUAUUCUCACUUUCCCAUCUUUAAAUGGUGGUAUACUAUUCCAUCACAUGAAUAGUAAGUAUUUCUCUAAAGCAGUGGUAUAUUAGUGCCUAUUUGAGGUGUUUACAGAUUUUGUGCUAACAAAGACUCUGCAUCAUGAUAUCUACAGGUAUUUUUAUUUGAUGAGAUGUCUUAGCAAUCUGUAUGUGAUGACUUUCUUGCAUAGGAAUUUCAAGGGCAUAUAGGUGCUACAUGUUGAUGAGCCUUACUAUGAUCUUGGAAUAUUCUAGUUUAUAGUCACACAGACUUAAAUAAUGCUUAUACAAUUAUCACUGUUCCCCUUUAGAGUUUGGAAUUAUGCAACUUGGUUAUUUAACAUUGUCGUUAAGACUGGAAGCCAUGGAGAUAUAUGAGAACAGGUAAAGGACAUAGGAAUAGUUUUGCUGGCAAGUAAGGGCAUACAGUGUUCUGGAAGAGAGAUCAGCAUGAGCUGAUUCUCACUGUGAGGUGAUGCCGAGCUUCUCUUCUGCCAAACUGUAGGUCGCUGCCCAUUGGUCAUUACUUAUUUUUUGAAGGGCAGAAACAGACUGUGAAUUGUACUGUGUUUAGUGCAGCACAAUGUUUAGCAUAUAGAAUGGGCAUCCUUUUUAUUUGCAGGAAUGUGUACAUGUGUUGUGUAUGUCUGUGUUUAUGCAUGUUUGUACGUGUGAAGGUGAGUGUGUAUGUGCACUGGUGCUCAUGUAUACAGAGGCCCGAGGUCAGAGUUGUCUGUCUUCCUCCAUCACUCACCCUUUGGAUACUGAGGCUGAAUCUCCCACUGAGCCUAAAGCUCACAGGUUCAACUACUCUACCUGGCUGGCUGGCACUGGGGAUGCCAUCUCUGACUCAAGACCUCUGGGAUGAUAAGCAGUCUGCCGGGCUCAUGGCAUUUGUGUCGGUUCUGAACUCUGGUCCCUGUGCUUAGUGCUCUACUCACUGAGCCACCCCUAAGUCCUGCCAUCCCAUUCUUAACCCAUAUUUUUAUAUCAUUCAAGUAAAUCAUGAUAUGUGCAUAAUUUUUCAUCAUGCUUUAUAAAUUUGACAUUAAUGGGGUGUGCAUACUAAUAAGCAGAAUUACAAGAUGAAGAAUUGAACCUUUUAUAUUCAAAUUUUCACUUUUACUCACAAAUGUCAUUGUUGCUGGAAGUAGGCAUAGACUUUUGUUUGUAGAGCUUGCCAGGCUCUUGCUCUCAGAACUGAAACUCUGUCUCUCUCACAGGAUGUGCUCAAAGGACAAGAGUAUGACAGACUCUUCAGCACUAUCCGUGUCAGUUUUCCUUUCUUGAGCUGGGAUCUCACUGUGUUGCCAUGGCUGGCCUUGUGCUCCCAGAAAUCUGCCUGACUCACCUCCAAGUGCUGGAAUUAAAGGUGUACCACCACACCCAGUCUUCAUGUCACUUUUUAGUAUUUGUAAAGAUUAAUGCGACUAUCUGCUCUUCCACCUUUCUCAGACAGAAGUAUCUUAGUAAAUUUUGAGCACACUGGGUUCAUUUUUAAUAGGCAGCAGAACAUGAAAAAUUCAAUCUGAUUGUGCAAGUCUACAUGAAAAAGAAAAACUAUAUUUUCUUCCAAUUGUGUUUUCCAAAAAUGUAGUUUUCCUUACUGAAUUUGCCAUCUAUUGACCUUUCUAUGCACUGACUUAAGAACAGAAUCAAUUAUUUAUCAAACAAAGUUACAGAACUGAGUAGACCCUCUGUUAACAUACUGCCAAGAAUACACUGAUUGUUUAACAUCAGGAUGUAAAUUUGUCUUAGAAGUGGCUGCUUGCCAAUGUUCAGCAUAGAUGAUUAAAGGGUUUUAAACAUA